UACGUAGGGUGCGAGCGUUAAUCGGAAUUACUGGGCGUAAAGCGUGCGCAGGCGGCUAUUUAAGCUUGCUGUGAAAGCCCCGGGCUUAACCUGGGAACUGCAGUGAGGACUGGAUGGCUGGAGUGUGGCAGAGGGGGGUGGAAUUCCUGGUGUAGCAGUGAAAUGCGUAGAUAUCAGGAGGAAUACCGAUGGCGAAGGCAGGUCUCUGGGCUGACACUGACGCUCAUGCACGAAAGCGUGGGGAGCAAACAGG
rnacentral:rRNA from 1 species